AACGCACCUUGCACCUCUCAGUAUUCUGAAAGGUACACCUGUUUGAGUAUCAUUAAUAACCAUCCACUUUAACCUUGUUGGUUAAAGCUGGGAAGUUGGGGGUUUUGUUGCUAGUCAUUUCUGUAUCAGAUGGACUUGCUCCCCUUAAAUUGAUUAGUGAAAGAGAACCAAGCAUAUAGGGAAACAUGCUUGAAAGGGGUUGAUGUGAUAGAUUUAACUUUUCUAAUUGACCUCUGAAGUGUACUCCUGUUGACAUGCAAUAACAAAAGCUUCUCUUCUGCUUUCAAACUGCAUUUUUGAAUGCUAUUUUUGAACUUGAUCUCAAAUCAGGUGGGAUUACCCGCUGAACUUAA
rnacentral:misc_RNA from 1 species